UCAAAUUUGACCCGCAAACACUUAGGGUGUGAACCCUUUUUGAACACAAUAGGAGGGUUAGGUGACUAUUUACAGCAGCAGUAUGGUUUAUGCAGGAUUGACUCAAAAUAAACUACAGUGCCCAUGUUCAUGGUAAUGUAGGAAGAUUUCAGUCAGUGGAGUGAUGAUGAUUUGUUUGGUUUCCUUUGCCUGUUCUGCCUCUGUCCCUGCCUUCAGCCCCACACUCUCUCCUCCCUUGGUUUUACUGUUCUCUACCUGUCCACCAGAUACCCCCGGACUUUCUUGCUUGGUUCCCACACCCACCUGCUCACCUGUUGCCACUAACCAAUUAUGCUCACCAGCUGCUCAUUACCUUAUCAGUCCCAGAAGCUUAUAUACCAGUCCUCUGGCAUGCAUUCCCUGCUAGAUUGUCAAUGUUGCUGUGUGUCUUUGAAUUCAAGCCAUCCUCUUACCUGUUCCUGAUUUCCCUGCCUCACCCCUAUGUUUUUGCCUAUGAGCACCCUCUGUUGGCGGUCCUCCUCUUGGAAAAGUGGCACCAGCUUCUUAUCUAGAGGAGACCAGGCAAUAGUGAGAAUACGCACAUAAAAGAGACGUUUGAAGAAACCUUUGAUGCUGCAUCUACGCUAGACUGAACACUUCAGGUAGCCUCAGCUCCAGUGGGAGGCAGACCUACUUCUUUGUGUUCUCUUCCAUGUGAUUCAUGUGGCUGGACGGUCUCCUCUCGGACCUCUGAAACAAGCAACACCAUCAUGGGAGGGCUGAAAAUAUGCUGCCAUUGUUUGAUCAAGACCCACAGAUAUGCGUGGGACAAUUGGCACAAGUCAGCGAGAAGAAAUUUGAGAGCCGAACAGAGUUGAGGGAAGAAUUUGGCUUUGUGCAUUAGUGAUGUAAGCAGCUGAGAAACCAAGCACAGAAGGGGACAUAAAAAGGCAAAA